UACGUAGGUGGCAAGCGUUGUCCGGAUUUAUUGGGCGUAAAGCGAGCGCAGGCGGUUUCUUAAGUCUGAUGUGAAAGCCCCCGGCUCAACCGGGGAGGGUUAUUGGAAACUGGGAGACUUGAGUGCAGAAGAGGAGAGUGGAAUUCCAUGUGUAGCGGUGAAAUGCGUAGAUAUAUGGAGGAACACCAGUGGCGAAGGCGG
rnacentral:rRNA from 1 species